UACAGAGGGUGCGAGCGUUAAUCGGAAUUACUGGGCGUAAAGCGUGCGUAGACGGUUAUUUAAGUCGGGUGUGAAAGCCCCGGGCUCAACCUGGGAAUUGCAUUCGAGACUGAAUAGCUAGGGUACGGUAGAGGGAAGUGGAAUUUCCGGUGUAGCGGUGAAAUGCGUAGAUAUCAGGAGGAACACCUGCGGUGUAGACGGCUUACUGGACCAUAACUGACGCUGAGGCACGAAAGCGUGGGUAGCAAACAGG
rnacentral:rRNA from 1 species